CUUACACCGUUGUCAAGCAAGGUAUUCUAACACCGUUGUCAAGCAAGGUAUCCUUACACCGUUGUCAAGCAAGGUAUCCUUACACCGUUGUCAAGCAAGGUAUCCUUACACCGUUGUCAAGCAAGGUAUCCUUAUAUCGUUGCCAAGCAAGGUAUCCUUAAACACCGUUGUCAAGCAAGGUAUCCUUACACCGUUGUCAAGCAAGGCAUCCUUACACCGUUGUCAAGCAAGGUAUCCUUAUAUCGUUGUCAAGCAAGGUAUAUCCUU